rnacentral:rRNA from 1 species
AGAACGAACGCUGGCGGCAUGCCUAAUACAUGCAAGUCGAACGAACACUUCGGUGUUAGUGGCGCACGGGUGCGUAACGCGUGGGAAUCUGCCCUUGGGUUCGGAAUAACAGUUGGAAACGACUGCUAAUACCGGAUGAUAUCGAAAGAUCAAAGAUUUAUCGCCCAGGGAUGAGCCCGCGUAGGAUUAGCUAGUUGGUGAGGUAAAGGCUCACCAAGGCGACGAUCCUUAGCUGGUCUGAGAGGAUGAUCAGCCACACUGGGACUGAGACACGGCCCAGACUCCUACGGGAGGCAGCAGUAGGGAAUAUUGGACAAUGGGGGCAACCCUGAUCCAGCAAUGCCGCGUGAGUGAUGAAGGCCUUAGGUCGUAAAGCUCUUUUACCCGAGAUGAUAAUGACAGUAUCGGAGAAUAAGCUCCGGCUAACUCCGUGCCAGCAGCCGC